GAGCCAUUAGCUCAGCUGGGAGAGUAUCUGACUUUUAAUCAGAGGGUCAGAGGUUCGAAUCCUCUAUGGCUCA
rnacentral:tRNA from 1 species